rnacentral:rRNA from 1 species
ACACACGACUCUCGGCAACGGAUAUCUCGGCUCUCGCAUCGAUGAAGAACGUAGCAAAAUGCGAUACCUGGUGUGAAUUGCAGAAUCCCGCGAACCAUCGAGUUUUUGAACGCAAGUUGCGCCCGAGGCCUUCUGGCCGAGGGCACGCCUGCCUGGGCGUCACGC